ensembl:antisense
ACUCUGCGGCCGAGCCCUUGGGCGGGAGCGGCUUCUUCCCCGCGCUGCCCGCACCGUCCGCGCCGCCACCUGCGCCGCCGGUGUCAGCCCCACGGGGCCGCUUCCUCUUGCAUCCUCCCGCGGCUCCCAGGGAGCCGGGCUCCUCUUCGCCGUCGGGGUCCUCCUCCUCCGCAGAAGAAUUGUCGCUGGGCGAGGCGUAACCGCGCUCGGUGCGGAGCAGGGGCGGCCUCUUGGAGGCGGGGGCCGGGUAGACCCGCUGCAGCCCCCUCAUCUCCGUGUCUUCCGGGUCACUCACCGAGCCGGUGGACAUCGCCUAUUCCCCGGCGCCCACGCGCGCCCGCCUUUCUCCUCCUCGGCCAGUCUCGCUUUCUCUGACUUCUCUCUGACAGAGGAUGGGGUGUGGGAGAGCCCAGGGGAGGACUAGAGACCAGGCUUGCCUCCGCACUGAGGCUCCCCUGUGAGCUGGGCGCCUGGAGUGGGCGCGAUCGGCGGUUGACCCUGUAGCCCAGGGCUCUGCUGAACUUGACUCCGGAUCCAGUACAGCCGCGAGCUGAGCCUUUUGACAGGACUAUUUAUCUGUACUGUUAGGGACAAGCCAACCCCCCCCCCCGCCCCCGGCAAAGUAGAGGGGAUUUGAAAGGGGGACAAGAGGUGGGGCAGGGGCGUGGAAGGGGUGGGGAUCUUUUUUAUUUUCCCCCCUGAACCCUGCGGUUAGCAGGGCGGGGGCAAGGAGUGUUUGCGUGCAAAGCAAAGACUUGGGCCUCUAAGUCCACGACUGACCCUCAGAGUAUCUGUGAGAGGUAAGUGAGAUAUGGGAACAAAAAGACAAAAGACCGUGUUCCUACUCAUCCCAUUUCCACCUGCAGCUGGUCUUAGUGGGCACUGAGGAAUCUGAGCAUGCCCACCACCGCUGCUUGUCUCCCAGAGUGCUCCUGGGGACCUGUCAUUCAAGUUCAUCACACAAAAUGUAUGUUUGCUUAUCCAAGGCUUCGUAGAACGAGUACGGAGAAAGAGCAAAAACCAAGAAGCAGCUCCAACAACCCAUCUCUUGACCCCCAUCCCUGCCCCUCCCCUUAUAAUUCACACGGCGGCUUUUUUUUUUUUUUCUACUUUUUCGUUUCAUCUUCAAGCAACUUCUGAAACUUACAUGUUAUGAUGUCCAUCUUGCAAAAUCACUGGCAGAGCAAAUAAGUAGGACCAGGAAUCUGUGUGUCGCAUUUCAGUAGCCACAGGCCUCCUAACCACACACAUCAAGAGAUGUUAUUUUCUACUGUUGUAAGAGUUCCCCCGCGUGAUUAAGUUGUGUACUCAGACCCAACUCUUUGAGAGCAAAUUCUUGGAUGCAGAAUAGUAUGUCAGCACAGUUGCCUUGCCAAAAUUAAAGAGAAAGGAAAGGGGAAAAGCAAAGAAAAGAAAGACCAAUAACAACCAAAACAAAAAAGACUACCAAGGAGCCCCUAGAAUUGUGCCGCGCCUUCCCCAACCCAAGAGCUGACAAAACAAGGUGGAAGGCAGGUCAUGUGUGUUCAAGGUGAAGGGCUUUGUUAGCAAUCAGACAGGUGUCAGCCAGGACUCCCGCUGUGCUCCAGAUGGGGGAUUGGUACCCUUAAAGGGUUGGGGUUUGAUGGCCUUGGCUGACCAGAAGGAAGCUGAGUUCUUUCCUGUCCCACUCUGUUGUCUUCUUGUACGUCUCCUCUCACAGGUUCCGGAUGAGAGUGGGUCAAGCAGAUACACGGAUGCAGAAGCUGCCCAGCAAAUUCUACUCUUUACAGCAGAACAGAUGGCUGAGCCCUGAGCCUGAAGUAUCUUAGCAGGGGGCCAGCAGAGGUUGAUUUGGACCCCCAGGCUUCCCUCCACCUUGUCUCAAGGUGAUACCUCCCACUUAGGGGUACUGUGUACUACCACCCCUGCUUGCUACCAUUUCUGAAGUUUUCUUGUAGUUUUGUCUUUGGUUGGGGGUAGGGGAAGAGGGGUUCUCAUCGCGAGACAAUUUGGGUAAAAACAUCCUCUGCUCUCAGAUUUUCUGGGCUGGGGAAAUGCAGCUGUAUUUGGCAGAGUGGUGGGGUUUGUUUGUUUGUUUGUUUGUUUUUGUUUUUGUACUGCUUAAACUUGACUGAAGGCCAGUCUGGCCAGGCAAAGGGGGUGGGGUGGAGAUGGGGGUGCAGGCAGAAAGAUAGAAGGCAGAGGUGUUACAUAUAGAUGACUUCAAACUAUCACUAUAAAUACAUACUCUCACACAUUAGGGGCAGGCAUAUAGGUUUUAAAAAUCUGGGUUGUUUAUACAGGUGCAGAACAAAGCUUUUCCUUAGGAAAGAUUAAUGGUGCGGGCAUGCUGCAUUUCUCUAAACAGUUCCCCAAACUGCCCAACCUCAGCGCUGAGGAUCAAGGCUGCUUUCUCCUUCUUGAAGAAGCUAUUCUCCAGAGCACCCUCCUCCUCCUCCUCCUCCUCCUCCUCCCCUCCCAGGCUUCCCUCUGCCCUUCCCCUAGUCUCCUUUCUCUUUCGUUUUCUGUGAGCUUGUUAUUUCUAGUCUCUUUGCCUUCCUCUGGCCUCACAUGUGAGAGGGAGAGGAGUGGACCACCUCUGCCUUCCACAGUAGUGAGCAGCUGCAGUUUGGGCUGUGUUACAGUGUCCAGCAUUUGUUCCUCUUCACACAUUCACGAUGCCUGACUUUCCUUCUCCCGGAAGCAUCUUGAAAGCCCAGAGAACACAGCUCUCUUGACCGCCUAUAUUCUCCCACUGUGUUGAUGUAACCACACAUUGUAGGUGAACAGUAAUGUCUUUAUUUUUCCAUUUUUAAAGCACUCUGAAAUC